rnacentral:rRNA from 1 species
GUCUACGGUCAUACCACCCUGAAUGCUCCCGAUCUCAUCUGAUCUUGGAAACUAAGCAGGGUUGGGCCUAGUUAGUACUUGGAUGGGAGAAAUUAAAUCAGCAGAAACUGUCCUUGAGAAAGACCUGAUGGUAGGUU